UCUGCAUUUAGAGGCACUGAACAUGUGGUUACUAUGUUGCAUGUGCAUCAGUAGGUGGCAGACAGAGGAGAGCAGCUAUGUCUAUGCUCAGUGUUCUAACCUAUUAACAUUUAAGUAACUAGUUUAACAUU